rnacentral:rRNA from 1 species
GCCUGUGGUCAUACCACUCUGAAUGGACCCAGUCUUGUCUGCUCUUGGAAGCUAAGCUGAGUCAGACCUGGUUAGUACUUGGAUGGGAGACCUGGGAAUACCUAGUGCUGUAGGCU